rnacentral:rRNA from 1 species
UACGGAGGGUGCAAGCGUUGCUCGGAAUUAUUGGGCGUAAAGCGCACGUAGGCGGCUUUGUAAGUCGGAUGUGAAAUCCCUCGGCUUAACCAAGGAAGUGCAUCCGAAACUACAGAGCUUGAGUACUUAAGAGGAUCGCGGAAUUCCCGGUGUAGAGGUGAAAUUCGUAGAUAUCGGGAGGAACACCAGUGGCGAAGGCGGCGAUCUGGGAAGAUACUGACGCUGAGGUGCGAAAGCGUGGGGAGCAAACAGG